rnacentral:lncRNA from 1 species
AAGGUUUGUCAGCUAGCGGAACCUACGUGUACGUCACGUACACUUAAAUGUUAUCUAUAUACUGUGUAGGCAUUGCUCUGAGCUAACCUCUUCAUUCAAAGUCCCCGAGUCAGCUGCAAAGGAAUGGCCAUGAAUAAUCUUUCAACAGAAUCAACUGUUGCUGCAGCAAUUUCAGCCUUAGUGAUAUUCCUCUCAAUUUUCCUAUUGAUUUCAAGAAAUGGGCAAAAAAGGACACUCAAGAAGAAGCAAGCUCAACAAGCGCCGGGAGCAGGGGGAGCAUGGCCUUUGAUAGGCCACCUAUAUCUCUUACGACGGCCAGAGCCAGCUCACAGAGUUUUGGGCAACAUGGCUGACAAAUAUGGACCGAUAUUCACUAUGAAAUUGGGAGUGAAGCAAGCUUUAGUGGUGAGCAACUGGGAAAUUGCCAAGGAGUGUUUUACCACAAACGACAAAGCUUUUGCAGGUCGCCCCAAAACAAUGGCCAUGGAGCUUUUGGGGUACAACUUCUUGGUCAUAGGCUUCGCACCAUAUGGCAACUACUGGCGUCAGUCACGUAAGAUAGCCACAAUUGAGCUUCUGUCAAAUCGUCGGCUUGAGAUGCUCAAACAUGUACGUGAAUCCGAAGUGAAGGCUUCAAUCCAGAGGUUAUACAAGAACUGCAUAAGUGGCAGCAGUUCACGUAAAGUAGUUUCGGUGGAGAUGAUCCAUUGGCUCGAGGGCACAGCACUUGACAUUAUUUUGAGAAUAAUUGCCGGAAAACGUCACACUUCACAAUCAAAAGAGGUUAACGAUUGGCAACAGCAAAUAACAAAGUUCACUGCCUUGUCUGGUCAGUUCGUGGUGUCCGAUGCGUUGCCCUUUCUGAGAUGGCUAGAUAUCGGCGGCUAUGAGAGAUUAAUGAGCAAGACAGCCAAAUAUUUUGACAUCAUUUUGCAAGAAUGGUUGGAUGAGCACAAGAUGAAAAGAGAUUCUGGUGAUGUUAAGGGCGACGAGGAUUUCAUGUAUGUGUUGUUGUCCUUGCUUGAUGAUAAUGCAGAGCAGCUUCCUGAUCGCGAUGCUGACGCUGUCAUUAAAGCAAUAUGCGUGGUAUAUUAUAUGCUCAUCAAAAGCUUUUGUGUGCGCGUGUGUUGUAUUGUUAUCCUUAUGUCACAGAUUGCUUACUGCUUUUAAUUUGCAGACUCUAAUCGUAGCGGCUGCAGACACCUCAGUAGUUACGUUGACAUGGGCUAUUGCUUUACUUCUCAACAAUCGCGAUGUUCUGAAGAAGGCACAAGAUGAAUUAGACAUUCAGGUUGGUACUGAAAGGCCAGUGAAUGAAUCGGACACGAGAAAUUUGGUUUACUUGCAGGCCAUUAUCAAGGAAACGAUGCGUUUAUACCCUGCUGCACCACUUUUACUACCUCACGAGUCUAUAGAAGAAUGCGUCGUCAAUGGUUACCAUGUCCCCGCAGGCACCCAACUGUUUGUUAACGCUUGGAAGAUUCAACGCGAUCCAUGUGUAUGGGAGGAGCCAUGUCAAUUUCAGCCAGAAAGAUUUCUUACGAGGUAUAAGGAUAUUGAUGUUAGGGGACAAGAUUUUGAAUUGAUACCAUUUGGGAGUGGAAGAAGAAUGUGUCCUGCAGUGUCACUAGGCCUUCAAGUUAUGCAACUAACGCUUGCUUCAUUAGUGCAUGGGUUUGAUUUUACAACCCCAUCGGAUGAACCGGUUGACAUGGGAGAGGCAAUGGGCCUAACCAUUGCUAAGGCUACUCCGCUUGAAGUGCUUGUUAGUCCGCGCCUUUCUGCUUCUUUAUAUGGUUAAAAUUAGCUUGUGUACUUAGUUAAUGCAAAUAAUUAAGUUGUACUUUUCAACAACUUAGUCAUAAAGGUGCGUUUAUCUCUUUUAAGUGUCAUGUCACUGUUGCCGUGCGUUUAGCACACUGCAUUAUGUUAAGGGUAAGUUUAAUAUAUUAUAUUGUAUUUUAAUUAUUUAAUAUUUGCUAUCUUGUAUUAAAUUGUAUCAUAUUGACAUUGUAUUGUAUUAAUAGUGUAUAACAUUUGGUACUAUAUUGUACUAUAUUGUACUAUAUUAUUUUUUAUUUAUCCCAUAUUUGGUACUGCACUGCAUUGCAUUAUAUUGAUUAUUUAGAUAAUUAAUUUAAAUUAUAAGUUGGGAAAAACAUUUUUUUUUUUAAAAGACUAAAUAUCGAAGUUAUAAAUUGUAGAAUUUUUCACAUCAAUUAUUUUCAGUCUAAAUGUAAAAUGUAUUAUAAUUCUUUUGAACACAUGUAAAAUUAACAAUUUCUAAAAUUUUCGGUAUCAUAACUUUUAUUUGUUCUAACAUUUCUCAAAUGCAUACCUUUUGAAAUAAAGAUCCAAUCAAAUAAUCUAAUAAAAUAAAUUCUAAAAAAUCAUAACAUAAAUAAAUAGAUAAAUAGUCAUCUAAACGUUAAGGAUGUUAAUAAAAAGUUUACAUAUGCUACAACAUACUAGGACCCUGAUCCCUUAAUAAAAUGGAUUGAACAAUGCACUAAGCUCCUCAUCCAACAAUGAAAAAAAUUUUACAUGAGUUUUUUUUUUUUAAUUUAUAAUCUUUCAUUAAAGAAAUUUACGAGAUACAUAGCAGGUAGGGGUGGCAAAAAAGCCUGGGCUGGCCCAGGCCCGGCCAAGCCCAGCCCAGGCCCGCGGGCCUAAAGCCCGGCCCGCACAGGUGGGCCUGGACAAGGGCUUAGCAAAAAAGCCUGGACUUGGCCCAGGCUUUUUAAAUUUAUGAAUAAAAAAAAAUAAUUUAAAUAAAAAGAAAAAAUUUAAAAUAUUAAAUUAGUUUAAUUUUUUAUAUUAGUAUUUGUUAUUUUAUUAGGUUGUAUUAUUAAUAUUUCAUGUAUUUGACCAUUAUUCUAUUUAUAUAUUAGAUUAUUAUCUUUAAUUUAAAUAUUUUUCUUAAUUUAAAAAAUAUUUUAUAAUUAAUUUUAAAGGCCCAAGCCCGGCCCGUCCAAGUUGGACGGGCUUUUAAAGGGCCUAGGCUUCGUUUGAAAGAUGCGGGCUUGGGCCUGGGCUUUAAAAAGCCCGGCCCAAGUCCACAAAUUGCCAUCCCUAAUAGCAGGCAUGAAACUUUGGCCACAUUGAUGCCAAACCCUAUGGCUUUAGCCUUUGCCAAUUCCAUCUCACCUAGAAAUUCAAUUCUAUUCAUUGAUGCCGUCAUUAACUAUCCUCUUGAGUUUCUGAUCACAACAUCUAAGCCUUUAACAACAUCACAACUUCUAAUAGCUGCAUCCGGAUCCUAAGUUAAAUUCUCCAGAUUGCAUGGCACUUAAGAAGAAAAACUUCACUUACUACUUUGUAGGACUUUAAGGGUGCGUUUGUGAUUGAGGUUGGACAGCUGUACCUUAAAAGCUACAGCACUAAAGUAUUUGGUAAACACUGAUUGCUGGAGUUUUUAAGUUAUGUUGAUAUAAAUUUUCACCUGUAUAAUAAAAAAUUUAUUAUAUUUUUAAUAAUUUUAUUAAAUUAUUAUUUAAAAUAUAUAUUUACUACAUUAUUAAUUUUUAUAUGAUAAUUAUAAUUUUUUUUCCGCAACAGCUGUAGCUUAAAAAGUACAGCACUACAAUCUCAAACGGGACCUAAGAAAUAUUCAACACAUCUCCAUAAUUCUUUCUUGGUCUACAACGCAGUGAUCAUAGUAAAAUCUAUUAGUUGCUAAUAUGUUUCUCAAUAUACCUUAAUUCUUCUUAUAACUAAUACACUUUACAGGCCAAAUUAUACAUUUGAAAAUAUUUUUAAGGAUCACACAAUUAUUUGGGGCGAGUUGACGUGGCCACGGCCGUGCUUGUUGCGGCCGCCGUUCCGGCGCUUGAAGGUCUGUCACAGAAAAAAUUAAUAUAAUAUAUCAAAUUUAUAUUAAAUAAAAACAAUUCUUUUUUUUUUUCAAUAAUAAUAUUUUUGGAAAUCAGAAAGAUAAAAUAUUUUCGCAAACCAUUCUGUUUUCUUCAAGGGAUGAAGGCGGCGACUGGCGAGAUUUGGUUGUUUGCUCGACUCAAAGUGCGGCAGGGGUUCUGAAAGUACAAUUUACAUGGCAGCUUUAUAUGGAGGAGUGACUUUCAAUAAUUCGGAAUUGAAGCCUCGUUUUUAUAAUAUUUUCACAUUGCCCCUUUUAUAUUGGAUGGUUAGGAACGGAUUAUGAUUAUAGAUAAGUAAAUUCGGACGGAUAGUUUGAGACUUAACGAGAUAAUGAUAGAUUAAAAAAAAAAUUAAAAUUCUAUCAGAUUUUAUAUAGGUAAAUAAUUAUUUAUAUUUCUAAAAAUUUAAUGAAUAGUUAUAUUUGACCCCUUUUUAUUUUUCUCGCCAACCUCCAUUACUCAGUUAACCAUAUCAUAAAUUUUUAAAUAACUUUCUAUCUCUCAACAUAAUUCAAUACUCCUAAUAUAUCAUUAGUCGAGGCCCACUGUAGUCUUCAGAUACCAGAUGAUUUAAUACACCGAAAAAAAAAAUACCAUUAUCAUCAAUUCAAUAGUCCUAAUUACACACACUCUUUCAACUUCUGCCAACUCUACAUCUCCAGCAAAAGCAGUAGUGAUGAUCUCCCCUUUGCAAUUUUUGACAACCAUGUCUAAGCCCAACCAUCAUUCCUUCUGAAGUUGAGAUUGCUGCACGAGUGAAAAAGAAUAUUGAAAUUGAAUUAUUAAUUUGGAAGAAUUUCACAACACAAUUAAACAAUAAUUGAAUAUAUUUGAGUCAUUUGACCGUAUUUUUUUUGUUAAAAAAACCCAUAUCUAGGUUCAGUUACAAAAGCCAAAUCUCUCUAAUCAUGUGUCUAGAUUCAAGGACCACAAACAAGAGAUUCCAAGAACUUGUUAACACCCUUUUAGAAAACUUGAUUUUGGAUUUUCAUGCUUGGACAAUGGCUUCUUGGAUUCCUCUCCAAUGACUCCAAUUUUGUCAUACAAUUGAUUGGAAUUGAAUGGCACAUGCUCGAUUGAUACUCUCAAGUUGAGGAGUUUUAUAAGUUUAAAAAAUGGGGUGGCUAAAAAAUAGGCUGAUGAAGAAUUUAAACAAAAAAAAGAAAGAAAGUUCGAAUAUCACUCAAAUUUAAUUCUUUUUUAUUUAAAAAAACAAAUAAACUGAUGAUUUCUAUUUAAAAGAAUAAUAUUUAAGUCCCUCAAGUUUUUUUUUUUUAACUAUUUGUAUCUUUUCUUUAAAACUUAUUAUACUCAUAAGAUAUCAACAGUCAAAUAUUGGGUCCGCCUAACUUACGUUCAACGCAAGUUACGCUCAGUCCGUCCAAUUUCAUAUAGUCCCCUUAUACUCUAUACUAUUUAUAUUUAUUCAUAAAUAUUAUAAAUUUUUUGAAAUGUAAACUUUCAUUUAACCCCUUAUACUCAAUUUUAUUUUAUUAAAACCAUAGAGUAUGAAUUCGCCCCCAUAAUUUUAAAUUCUCAAAAUAAUCUCCAUUUAAUUAAAAAUAUAAUUAUAUUAUUAUUGGUCUCAAAAAUAUAAUUAUAAUCAUUAAUUAUUAUUAUUAUUAUUAUUAUUAUUAUUAUUAUUAUUAUUAUUCUUAUUAACAAUUUAUAAUGCUUUUUAUUCUUGUUAUUAAUAAUAACAAUAAUCUAUUAAAAAAUAUUUAUGAUUAUAAUAAAAUUAUAAUUAUAAUUAUAAUUCAUUUAAAAAUAAUUAUAUUUUUAAUUAAAUGGAGGUUAUUUUGAGAAUUUAAAAUUAUGGGGGCGAAUUUAUACUCUAUGGUUUUAAUAAAAUAAAGUUGAGUAGAGGGGAAAAUAUUAUAAUUAAUUAAUCUAUUAACAAUAAUUAAUAAUAUUUUUAUUAAAUUGUUAGUAAUAAUAAUAAUAAUUAAUGAUAAUCAACAUAUUUAUGAUUAUAAUAAAAUGGAAUAAACACCGAGUCUAUAUUUAUAUAGGAGACUCUUUUAUAUUUUUAUACAUUUUAAUUUCAAGUACUUUUAGGAUUUUUUUGUUACCUUCAUAAAUAAUGAUUUUCUAGGCAUCUCAUUAUUAAACGGUCAUUUUUAAGUGUUUUUUGCUAAGUUGUUACACAUUCGAGGAUGUAAACACAUUUUUCUUGCUUCUAUUUUUUAAAUACAAAAUUAUUUUUAUUGGGUCAAGCUUAAAAUUCUGACAGAAAUUAUCAUUCAUUGGUCUCUUGAAACCCGAUAAUGAGUAUUUAAAGUCGAAGGUAGCAUUAGCAAUAUAUUUACUAUUAGUUAGAUAAUCAUUAAUUAUUAUUAUUAUUAUUAUUAUUAUUAUUAUUAUUAACAAUUUAUAAUGCUUUUUAUUCUUGUUAUUAAUAAUAACAAUAAUCUAUUAAAAAAUAUUUAUGAUUAUAAUAAAAUUAUAAUUAUAAUUAUAAUUCAUUUAAAAAUAAUUAUAUUUUUAAUUAAAUGGAGGUUAUUUUGAGAAUUUAAAAUUAUGGGGGCGAAUUUAUACUCUAUGGUUUUAAUAAAAUAAAAUUGAGUAGAGGGGGCUAAACAAAAUUUUAUUUUAAUAACAAUAAUCUAUUAAAAAAAUAUUUGUGAUUAUAAUAAAAUUAUAAUUAUAAUUAUAAUUCAUUUAAAAAUAAUUAUAUUUUUAAUUAAAUGGAGGUUAUUUUGAGAAUUUAAAAUUAUGGGGGCGAAUUCAUACUCUAUGGUUUUAAUAAAAUAAAAUUGAGUAGAGGGGGUUGAAUGAAAUUUUAUAUUUUAAAAAAUUUAUAAUAUUUAUGAAUAAAAUAUAAAUAGUAUAGAGUAUAGGGGGACUAUAUGAAAUUGGACGGGCUGAGCGUAACUUACGUUGAACGUAAGUUAGGCGGAUUGAAAAUAACUUUUUCUAAAUAUCAAAACAAUCAUCAUCAUCAUUAUUAUUGUUGAACGUAAGUUAGGCGGAUUGAAAAUAACUUUUUCUAAAUAUCAAAACAAUCAUCAUCAUCAUUAUUAUUAUUAUUUCGUGUAAUAUAGUUAUAGGGACAAAAAUCUAAGGGUGAAAUAAAAGUGGUAUUUAAUAGAAUUUAUAUUAUGACAAAAGCCAAGUGGACCCAAGUGAUAAAACUGUUUAAUUGAUGGACAGAAGAUCAAUUUUCUUUUGUGUUGCCGACACCACAGUUUGGUUUACGCUUCCCGACCCAUGAUAUAGGAGAAGUCUAUGUUACAGCUUCUGUAAGUAGCAGCAGCCAAUAGGGAACUUCCACGGGUGCAAGGUGAUGGAAAUGGGAAAGUUCGAAGCUGUUACUUGCAGCUUCUGCACCUUAGCCAUGUCCUGAUAUUCAGGACCAUGCACUUUUGUCAUCCCAGACAAUUUUUCAUAAUUAAAACAAAACAAGUGCUGCGUCCUGUGGCUGAUAUUUAGAGCAAAUGAAGUUUACCAAGUCCUCCCAUGAAAAUAUCAUAUCCCACCAUUAUCUCCAACCAUUUUAAAGGUUGAAAUUACAAGAGAAGUCGUAUCGUAUCUAUGUACUAUGUUUGUCACAAUUGUUUGGCAACCUCCAAAUUGGCCGUAUAAAGUCAUUGAUUAAUCAGAAAAAGAUACCAUUGUCGAAAACUUCGCCAUUGUGGCCCCUGAUGUAUAAAACUGACCAUAGGAUUAGCAACGGUUUGUCAGCUAGCGGAACUUACGUGUACGUCAUGCACACUUAAAUGUUAUCUAUAUACUGUGUAGGCAUUGCUCUGAACUAACCUCUUCAUUCAGAGUCCCCGAGUCAGCUGCAAGGGAAUGGCCAUGAAUAAUCUUUCAGCAGAAUCAACUGUUGCUGCAGCAAUUUCAGCCUUAGUGAUAUUCCUCUCAAUUUUCCUAUUGAUUU